CCAAAGGUGCUGCUUCCUCCG
rnacentral:siRNA from 1 species